CCCGAAAGCUUCGAUACUUCUCCCAGACUAGCGGCGGGGAGGCGACCGGCGGCGACAGGUGGCCGGCUGCCCGCGGCGCCGCGGAUUUGCCGUUUGCUCCUCCUCCGGGACCGUGUCACCGGGCAGCAUGACGCCGCGCGACGGCGACGCGGCGACGCCCUUCGACUGUUCGACGCAAUGCCAGGGGGAGGGGUUGGGGUUGGUCUGGUGGAAGUGGAACGGAGCCGCUUUGCUGUGAGGCGCCUUGCUCAGGGUGUUCGGCGAAAUGCCCGAGAGGCUGUCCAGUUCCGGUCGGGCGCCGACUGCGGCCGUCGAAGAUCUCGUGGAGGUGGGCUCGUCGACCAGGCGACUGAGGGGCCAUGCUUCGUGAGUGCGUGCCGACAAUGCCGCGCUCUCUUCACGCGCGCCAGUGCGCCUCCUUCGACAUGGUUCUCCCCAGCUUGUAUUUUGUGAUAAUUCGGUUGAAGAUUUGCAAUUGUGUACAUGGAAAAUCAUCAUUCCGAGAGGUGCAUAUAAUUUGGAGAAAUCAUUGGCGUUGUGGUCAUGGUGUGUACGCAUAUUUUGGACAAGAACAAAUUGAGCACAAGUGGUGGUGGUGAGUGGGCGACCCGGUGUGUUGCUGUCUUCUUCUUCUUGACCGUUUACUUUCUGUUAUCAAGCGUGCACUUUGGCUUAUUUCUCCACACGUUUGCAGCUCUUUUUCCAUCUUCUACCGGCUCCACUGUUGUAUCAUUAUAGACCAUGGAUUAUGACUGGAAAUUUGGGAGAAAUUUGAUAAUUUGACACUUUAUUCAUUGUUGUUUUGCUUUAA